GUGCUCGCUUUGGCAGCACGUAUACUAAAAUUGGAACGAUACGGACAAGAUCAGCAUGGCCCCUGAGCAAGGAUGCCACGCAAAUUUGUGAAGCAUUCUACAUUUUU
ensembl:snRNA U6 U6 spliceosomal RNA